rnacentral:misc_RNA from 1 species
AUAGAACACUACUCAUAUAGAGAGAGAAGAGGAAAACAUAAGAAAAGAAAAUAAAAAGAAAAGAGAGUGAGAAACCAAAAGAUGACAACCGCCAUGAAUGACAAUAAGGUUGAUCAAGAUCACUUGGUACUCCUCUCCCAAUUGUACCCUGGCGUAUACACACAAAUGGUUCCACAACAAGGUGAGCCAAAACCACGACGCAGGCGAAAGAAGAACAAAGGAGGAGAAAACGGAGUUACUGCUGCCAAGAAGAGGAAGCUCAGUGCUGACCAGGUUAAUCUUCUUGAGAUGAAUUUUGGUAACGAACAUAAGCUGGAGUCUGAGAGAAAAGACAGGCUUGCUUCAGAACUUGGACUUGAUCCCCGUCAAGUUGCUGUUUGGUUUCAAAACCGAAGGGCUCGCUGGAAGAACAAGAAACUUGAGGAGGAGUACACUAAGUUGAAGACAGCCCAUGAGAAUAUUGUUGUUGAGAAAUGUCACCUUGAAUCUGAGGUUUUGAAGCUUAAGGAGCAACUUUCAGAAGCAGAGAAAGAGAUUCAACGACUAACAGAGCGUGUUGAUGGAGUUUCGAGUAAUAGUUGUAGUCCAACUCUGUCUAUGGAAGCCAUGGACGCACCGUUUCUUGGAGAAUUUGGGAUGGAAGGAUAUGGAGAUAUUUUUUACAUGCCAGAAACCAAUUACAUUCAUGGUAUGGAAUGGUUUAAUCAGUAUAUGUAAUUAACUAGCCUAAUUUUAGCAUAUGUAGAUAGUAAUUAGGCAACAAGCUAGUGUAAAUUUUCCCUCUAUCUAGCUACUUCUUUACCAUUGAGGUGUUUUAGUUGGAAAUGCCAUUAAUUAAGUAAAUUAAUUUGCCUUUCAG